ensembl:snRNA U6 U6 spliceosomal RNA
AUGCUCACUUCGGCAGCACAUAUACUAAAAUUGGAAUAGUACAGAGAAGAUUAACAUGCACAAGGAUGACAUGCAAAUUCAUGAAACAUUCCAUAUAAAA